GAGUAGACAGAGGGUUACUGGUUUCCCGAGCGACCCAUAAGUCACCCUCUGGAACACAGACAUACGAUUUUGGUCUUGGUCACUAGGAGUCUGUGUAAGCGUGUGAAGGAAAGGCACAGCCGGCGCACCGUGUUCAUGGCUUCACAGAUCGUAACGUAAGCAAGUGUGCAGUGAAACCACCAAGUGGACCACUCCUUGGCUGCAAAGAAAGGUUUAUUGGGCAGGGGGGAAUUGGAAGACAUCAUGACUACCUCUUGGAGGAAGAGAGAAUUGCAAAAGCUGCUCUUUGGUGAACAGGCCAACCUUAUCUACUGCAUGCUCCCAGCCUCAUCAUAGGUCUGAAGUCAUGGGAGCCAAGUGACCAUGGACUGAAACCUCUGGACAAAACCAAACAACUCCUCCUUUCAAGUUGAUUUCCUCAAGUGUGUAGUCUCAUAGAUAAGAAGCUAACACCAUGAGAGACUCAGAGUUUUCAAAACCUAUUUUAUAAUGGUUCUUAAAUACUUUAACCUCCCUUCUAGCCCACCAGCCACCAGAGGCAAUGGAAAGGAAAGGCUUUCCAAAAGAGGAUGUGGACCUGUUUGGAAAUAGUUCUUCAGGGGGGUGGGGGGUGGGACUCUAAUCUUCUUUGGCAGGAUGCCAGCAGUUCAGUCCACAUGAAUUAGUAACAGUAGAUGGAUCCAGAAGAAACUAUGAGGCUCUGCCAAUCAGCCCGAGUCCACUCAGAAGAGACAAGAAGCUGCCUGAAUAUCAUGAGGAGUUCUUUGGCGCAUUUUUUUCUCUACGAAGUCACAACAAAUGACGAGCAGCUAAGAAGUUGAGGUGAACCAAUGCCACGGUGUCAUCAGGGAAGACCGGCAUCAGCAAAGUCCAAUGAAGACCAGCAAAGAGCGUUAAGAACGGCAAGGGACCGACUGAGUGCUGCUGCAGUCUGCUGCAGCCUGGUACCAACUGAGCGUCUCUGCAGACUGCCACAGCCUGGUGCAGCCUGACACCAACUGAGUGCUACUUCAGCCUGGUGCAGAAUGGCACAGAUUGGGAGCACAUGCAGCUUGAUGCAGCCUGGCACUGACUGAGAGCCUCCACAGCCUGGUGCAGCCUGGCACAGACCGAGCACCUCUGCAAUCUACCUCACCUGUGGUAGUUUAUUACUUGGUAACAGAAAACUGAUAGGGUGAUAUCACUGUGAGAGCCCAGCAGCUCUCAUGGAUCUCAGAAGUAAUGGCCCAGCUGCCUUGCUGUGAUGACGCCCCUGUAAUCUUGUGGAAGGGUCACACAGACAGGAACCAUGAUCCUCAGCUGCAGCCAAGCCCGCUAUUUGAAUGUUUGGUUGUGGGACUGUGAAAGGCAGUUUGUGUUCUGGUCGAGCGAAGGUUACUCCAGAGACCUAGUAGAAAAUUCUACAAGGGAUGGAACAGUAAGUUACACCUUCAGACACAAACACCUGACACCAGGAGCCCGCCCCCCUCUUUGCAUCUGUACAAUCCUUUCAAGAAAGCAACUGAUGGGGAAGACCCGCCCUACAUGCAAGCACCUACCAAUGGGCAACCCAGGGACAAAGUAGCCCAAUGAGAGAGCAGACCCAGAGACAAAGCUGCCCAAUGAGAGAGCAGUGUGGUUGUAAUUGUUGGUGUUUCCUCUUGAACUUGCUGCUGACCUUCGCUCCUGACAAGAGAAUCCAUCUUCUCUGGCCUUUAAACGGGACUGAAGGUUAGAUAGAAACUCUCCAGGGAGUUCCAGGCCUGCAUCGCUGGAUCGGGACUGCUGAGGGACCAACUUCUGGGACUGAGCAGCUACCAGGUUCUCAAGCUCCUGAGGGCACAGUCGGCCACCGCUAGACUACCCAAGUCCUGCUGUGAAUGCCAGUUUAGCAAAGCCCCAGAUAUAUGUGUUCUGUUGGUCUGCUCCUCCAGAGAGCUGUGCUUAAGGCAUUUUCCUAGGCUACAGAAUAACAGGCUGCUCUUCUUUUCCGAAGCCACUGAAAUUCAGGGUGGUGGAGUAGACUGAUUUUUUCGGCUGUUUGCCACCCAUGACGCUGAUUACGCCUCUGGUGACAUGAUUGAUACGGAAGGUGGCACAUCCAUCAGAGACCAAGCUCCCUAAGAAAAGAUGCAGAGUUUGCAAUCCCAAAUUCACAUUGCGCUGGUCCACUGUCCUCCCAAGUGUGCACAGAGGGCAUUUUGCAAACUCUUGGCUAUAGGAGGAUUUAUGAGCCUGGUACCUGGGUAUGCCACGCUCAGAAAAAAAAAUGCAAAUGGUUCUGUCCAGGGUGCAAUGGAACGAAUUAAUUCAGACCACUCAGGUGGGUCUGAAACUGAGCACCGUUCUGGGAACUAACUGAACUUUAUCAUCAGUUUUGAAGCGAUCAGUGUUUUGACAUAUGAUUCUAAUUCAAAUAGCCCAAUGUAAAAUAAAAGAAAAACACAGCC